AUGAACGCUGGCGGCGUGCCUCAUACAUGCAAGUCGAGCGCACGGACGAGAAGCUUGCCUCUCUGAUGUUAGCGGCGGACGGGUGAGUAACACGUGGAUAACCUACCUAUAAGACUGGGAUAACUUCGGGAAACCGGAGCUAAUACCGGAUAAUAUUUUGAACCGCAUGGUUCAAAAGUGAAAGACGGUCUUGCUGUCACUUAUAGAUGGAUCCGCGCUGCAUUAGCUAGUUGGUAAGGUAACGGCUUACCAAGGCAACGAUGCAUAGCCGACCUGAGAGGGUGAUCGGCCACACUGGAACUGAGACACGGUCCAGACUCCUACGGGAGGCAGCAGUAGGGAAUCUUCCGCAAUGGGCGAAAGCCUGACGGAGCAACGCCGCGUGAGUGAUGAAGGUCUUCGGAUCGUAAAACUCUGUUAUUAGGGAAGAACAUAUGUGUAAGUAACUGUGCACAUCUUGACGGUACCUAAUCAGAAAGCCACGGCUAACUACGUG
rnacentral:rRNA from 1 species